AGAUGUGAGGGCGAUCUAGCUGUGACAUCUGUCACGCCACUUAUCACCAAGAUUGAUUCGGCUGAUAUGGUUGGCUAGGCGAGUGUCCCCUUCCUCCCUCACUGCUCCAUGUGCGUCCCUCCAGAAGAUGCAUGCUCGGUCAAAGAGGACGACCUUCCUGGAUACAAGUGGUACUGUUCAUUGGUCACGGGUAUAUGGUAGCUGCACUUUUUUUUUUUUCACAUCCAAAGGGACCUUGACACACUUGUGAGGUGGGCUGAUGCCAACCUUAUGAA
rnacentral:snRNA from 14 species